CCUACGGGAGGCUGCAGUGGGGAAUAUUGGACAAUGGGGGCAACCCUGAUCCAGCCAUGCCGCGUGUGUGAAGAAGGCCCUCGGGUUGUAAAGCACUUUCAGUGAGGAAGAACGCCUGGUGGUUAAUACCCAUCAGGAAAGACAUCACUCACAGAAGAAGCACCGGCUAACUCCGUGCCAGCAGCCGCGGUAAUACGGAGGGUGCGAGCGUUAAUCGGAAUUACUGGGCGUAAAGCGCGCGUAGGUGGCUUGAUAAGCCAGUUGUGAAAGCCCCGGGCUCAACCUGGGAACGGCAUCCGGAACUGUCAAGCUAGAGUGCAGGAGAGGAAGGUAGAAUUCCCGGUGUAGCGGUGAAAUGCGUAGAGAUCGGGAGGAAUACCAGUGGCGAAGGCGGCCUUCUGGACUGACACUGACACUGAGGUGCGAAAGCGUGGGUAGCAAACAGGAUUAGAUACCCUUGUAGUC
rnacentral:rRNA from 1 species